rnacentral:rRNA from 1 species
UGGGUAACCUGCCUCAAAAGAGGGGGAAGUAGCCUCCCGGAAAGGGAAGA